GAAUCUUCUUGUCUGAUGAUACACAUAAUUGCAGUAAACGUCUAUAAUAUUAUCUCUAUUAGUUGUGAACAAGUCGAGGCUAAAUGGUAUAUUCUAGAAAUAUAUCGUUUCCAUAAAUCAACAAUACAGUCGAAGGAAGAAUGUAAAGAAGAAAAGAAUGAGAUAAGAUCUAAUGCGCAGGAACAAUCCUUCAUGACGUCAUAUUCCUUCCUUCCCCACUCCUCUAGGCCUCCCCAUCCCCGCGUCACUCUUAGUACAGUUCCGCUUCAAAGCUCUUAGUGACUGUUUUCCGCGCGUUGUCCUUGAGAAGCGAUAAAUAAUAAUCGGUGCCUGAAACAAUCGUCUGCCUGGACUGAGUGCAGUGCGACGAAAGAUACUUGAUGUAGGAGACGUAGAACAAUGAUGUAGAAAGGUUCUGUGAGUGGCAACUCCAGCCUGAGUCUUCGCUCUUCAUGGCCGCGCCCACUUUUAUAGUGCGGGAUGAAACUAAAACCAAUGGUCAUGGGAGCCAAAAACUACGCGAUGAAGCGCUGAGCAGUGUGUGAGUGUGAGUGGAGAUGGGCGUGAGAGAACAUAAGUGGGGACGGCCAGCGGAGAGGAAAAUGACGUUCGUGAAGAGGCGUUGACGGGUGUGACUGACUGAUGGCGAAGACAAGUUGACCAGAACUCCUGCGGCUGCUCCGUUCAUGAGGUGUUGCUGGAUCACAGUCUGGCAGUGUUGAAGUCGAUCCAAGUGAGGAAUGAACAAUCCUUUGAGUUGAGGCACAAUCGGGCAUAAAUCCGGUAUAAAGUGGGCCACCGCCGCCACUCGCCGCGCUGCCAGGCGGGGAGCAGCAGGGCGUCCAGUCAUGCGGCUUGCGUAAUCAAGCAGUGGAGGUGCCGCAUUCUUCAACGUUUGGCAUCAUAUCUCAACUACCGCCAAUGAACCACAGUGGACGCCAUUGGGGCUCUCCGGUGUACUUGUCACACUCUAGUAGUAGUCAAUUAAGAUUCUACAACUUUAGUAAACUCCAGUGAACAUUGUUAUAGUUUUCGAUGGAGUUGUCUUAAUUUGAAUAUUCCAUCAUUAUUGGGACAGCCCUGAAAACCUGUCUCAUCAUUGCUGCGGCUUUGUGAACAUAGACCUUUAGAAAGACCGUCGAGUUUCAAGAUGCGGAUGCAGCUGUGCAGGAACAACAGCCAUAAGAAGGCGUGUCCAGGUUUAUGUAAUUGUAAGAACAUCUGAUUUUCAUAAUAGAUAAUGGUGGUUGGCGAUGAAUAUGAUAAUGAAAUAUGAGUGUAACUAUUAGUGAUUUCGUAAUAAAUACAAUAUUGCUGCUUCUGAUAAUGACCAUGGCGAUUAUACUCUACUAACUAAUAUAUCAACUACAAUAUUAAAUAAUGAAUAAAAUUAAUAAGUAUUGAAGUAUUGAAAGAAAAAGAAAACAUAUACAUAAAUGAAUGCAUAAA